CUGAUCUCAAAUCAGGUAGGACUACCCGCUGAACUUAAGCAUAUCAAUAAGCGGAGGAAAAGAAACUAACAAGGAUUCCCCUAGUAACUGCGAGUGAAGCGGGAAAAGCUCAAAUUUAAAAUCUGGCAGUCUUUGAUUGUCCGAGUUGUAUUCUAGAGAAGUGUCUUCCGCGUUGGACCGUGUACAAGUCUCUUGGAACAGAGCGUCAUAGAGGGUGAGAAUCCCGUCUUUGACACGGACUACCAGUGCUUUGUGAUGCGCUCUCAAAGAGUCGAGUUGUUUGGGAAUGCAGCUCAAAAUGGGUGGUAAAUUCCAUCUAAAGCUAAAUAUUGGCGAGAGACCGAUAGCGAACAAGUACCGUGAGGGAAAGAUGAAAAGCACUUUGGAAAGAGAGUUAAACAGUACGUGAAAUUGUUGAAAGGGAAACGCUUGAAGUCAGUCGCGUUAGUCAGAACUCAGCCUUGCUUUUUUGCUUGGUGCAUUUUCUGAUUGACGGGCCAGCAUCAGUUUUGACUGCAGGAAAAAGGUUGGAGGAAUGUGGCACCUUCGGGUGUGUUAUAGCCUCUGAUUGCAUACUGUGAUUGGGAYUGAGGAACUCAGCACGCGCAAGCUGUGCUUAGGAUGCUGGCGUAAUGGCUUUAAACGACCCGUCUUGAAACACGGACCAAGGAGUCUAACAUGCCUGCGAGUAUUUGGGUGGUAAACCCGAGUGCGCAAUUAAAGUGAAAGUUGGGAUCUCUGUCGUGGAGAGCACCGACGCCCGGACCAGACCUUCUGUGACGGAUCUGCGGUAGAGCAUGUAUGUUGGGACCCGAAAGAUGGUGAACUAUGCCUGAAUAGGGUGAAGCCAGAGGAAACUCUGGUGGAGGCUCGUAGCGAUUCUGACGUGCAAAUCGAUCGUCAAAUUUGGGUAUAGGGGCGAAAGACUAAUCGAACCAUCUAGUAGCUGGUUCCUGC
rnacentral:rRNA from 1 species